rnacentral:lncRNA from 1 species
UCAACGAAAGCUUUCCCCUAACUUUCAGACCCAAUUUUUCUUCAAUCUCCCCGACCCUUCUUUCUCGACUCAUUAUUUCUGAUCAGAGGGUGCUGUCGNAGCAUGAGGAGGUGUUGUCACUAGGUCAGAGGGUGGUGUCGCGGUGUGGGCAAAGCUUGUAGCUGGCGAGGAAGGCGUGACGAAGUGGCUUUCACUGCGUGAGAAGGGCUUCGUGAGAGAGGGUAUCGGAGGUGCGGGUUGUUACUGCCGUAGAGG